rnacentral:lncRNA from 10 species
AGGAGGUAAUUGCAACAAUGUUGGAGGUGAAAGACAGAGAAUUGCUGCUGGGGAGAGGAUGCAAACAGGUUGUACAGUCACUGUGGUCUAUAGGGAGUGAUUUGAGGUACUUUUUAAAAGCUCAGACCUUUAUGGAACCAGAAAUAACCACCAUUCCUUCUUUUCCAUUAUAAAAAUGCAUCUGAAGUAUGCUUUUAUAAAAGGCAAAUAUGUCUAAAAGGAACAUACAGGAUUCACAUAGAAUUAUUCUUCAAAAUUUAAACAGCAUCUGAAACAAAGAGAAGACAAAUUCUAAGGAGAGUGGAAGAGUUAGGAGUGGGCAGGACUGGGAGGAGGUGUCAAGACCUGUGGGAGAGCUGUGCAGCGCCUGCCCCCAAGGAAAUGAACGCAGCAGCAAACACAUCAGGAGAUCAGAGGUGGGAAGUGAGUGGACGCCAAGCACACAGGACGAGGUGGCAGAAGUUAUUACUGGGAGCACAGUGCAGAGGACAAGAACUUUGCAACUGAACAGACCGGAGUUUGAAUCCUGCCUUUGUUUCUCAGUAACCAUGUGACCCGGGGACCCUCUAACUGCUCCAAACCCUCCCCGGGAGACCAGUUGGAAAGUAGCCAUAUCUUAACUCUUCUAUGUGACUCUUCAAAAGUAAGGGUGAUUUUAAAGGACAUUUCUGCUGACAGAUUCUCAUUUGUUUCAAUAAACCUAAAAAAAAAAAAAAAAACCUUCAUCUACAGAAACCAAAGGUAUCACUACUGUCAACCUCUCACAUCAUAUCCACAGUUACUGUCUUGAAAAACAAAAGGAAAAGUGUUCCUUCAAAGUCUCCAAUAACCAGAGAAGAUGAUGUCUCUGAAGGCUGGCAAGUCCCGGAUGACAUGGUCUGAAAACAGAGACACUCUGCUGGCGGCAGCAACUGGAGAGGGGCCAACACGAAGCUGUUAACAAAGGGGAGUUAGGAUAACACGCAGCUUCGCAGCUUGAUGACUGUUUCCAAGUGCAUGGCUCGGACAAGGGUCUGACAGCAAAACCAGGCAUAAUUCAGUGUUGGAGUUUUGUUGUUUUGUUUGAGAAGUUGACUUCAUUAAAAAAUAAUAAUAUAAAGAAAAAGAAAGAAAAAAAAGAAAAGAAAACGAGAUAGAAACCAGAGACACCAAAAUGAUUAUUGCUUUGGGGAUAUUUUCAGAAUUUGCCCAGAAACAGUAAAGAUAAUGCAGGGCACAGUCAAUAGACAUUUGUUCUGGUGGUGUUCACAGCUUUGUCUCCUUGGCAUCAUGGACAACAUGGCAGAGCCAAAAGAAUUUCCUUUCCCUGAUCACAAACUCCAAAGCCAUUGGUCUACUGCUGUUGUAGCAUGUGGCCCAACAUUUAUGGCCUGGUUCAGCUGUGUGCUUAGUCAAGCACAGCCUUACAGGUGGUUAAGGCAAAGCCAAGGAAUGGAAGGAGGUCAGUUAUUUACUGAGCAUCUUCUGUGACUUGGUAUUGUUUGGGGCUUCAUUCCUUCAGUCAUCAUGGAACCAAAAUGAUUGGAUUUCCUCAGCUUCAAGGUGUAUACCCUGGUACCCUAAAUUAUAAAGAGCAGAUGGCUUUCAAGCCUGGACAACUGCUGGCCCAAAGGCUAGUUCCUACAAAAACCAAUGCCAGACUUCUGUUACAGCCAUCAUUUCUAGAGUGCACCUGAACUUGGUAGACCGGGCAUAUUGUCACUCACUAAGUAAGAAGAAAUAAUCUUUUUGGGAUUCACUUAGUAAAAAACAGAAAGAAAAAAAGAUGGAUACAGAAAGUCAAAAUUCAAACAUAUUUUGUGGGACUUGGUUUUAAAAUUUACAGGAAAAUGCAAAGAGUUAAGAAUAGCCGAUACGCUCUUGAAUGAAAAGGAAAAAUAAGAAAAGGUAGGAUGACUUGCCUAGACAGAUAUAAAAUAUCAAAUCACAUCUAAAGUUACAAUGAUUAAAACAAUGUGGUACUGGCACAAAGAUGUACUAUUGUAUUGAUGGAAUAAGAAACAAAGCCUUAAAACAGACCCAUGCAUAAACUGAUACUGAAUUAUGCCAAAGAUGGCACUGCCAAGCAGUGGGACAUAGAUGAUGUUGACAUCCCUAACUCACACCACACAUUAAAAUUACCUCCAAAUGAACCACAGAUCUAAACAAACCUGAAAGGCAAAACAACAAACUUCCUAGAAGAUAACAUAGGAGAUUAUAUGUAACUUCACGACCUGAGUCAAGAGAAUACAGUAUUUCUUAAACAAAACACAAAAAGGUUCUCACCAUAAAGGAAAAAUAAUGUUUAACUGCCACAAAAAUGAAAACUUCUGCUUAUCAGACAGUAUUAUUAAAUGAGUAAAAAGCUAUAAUACAAGUAGAAGAAAGGCUCAUAUGCAGAAUAUUUUUUAAAAACUCUUAUGAAACAAUAAAAAAUGAUGGACAAUCCAAUAGAAAAAUGAGCCAAAGACUUUAAAAGACACAUCACAUAAGAAGAAAUCCAAAUGAUCUAUACACAUGGGAAGAGGUUCUCAUCAUUAGGAGUCAGAAAAAUAAAAAUUAUAAGCAGUAAGUGAUGAUUACACAAUUCUGUGGAUAUGAUAAAAACUAACAUGCUAAAGAGUUGUACAUUUUAAAUGCGUGAAUUGUAUGGCAUGGAAACAGUAUCUUAUUAAAGCUAUUAUUUUUAAAAAACACAAGCAAAAGUAGUGUACACCUACCUACUCAAAUGAAUAAAAUUUAAAGAUUGCGUCAGUUAGAAUGUGGAGCAAUUAAAACUCUUAACCACUCCUGAUGGGAGUGUAAAUUGGCACAACCACUUUGGAAAAUAAUUUGGCAUAAUUCAUUAAAGUAGAAAAUAGAGAUACUUUAUGUAUGAUCUAACAAGUAAAUUCUGAGGUAUCAACCCAACCAAAUGCACAUAUAUGUUCACCAGGAAACAUGUAAAAGAAUGUUUACAGCAAUAUUAUUCAUGAAUGCCAAAAACUAGAAAAAUGUAAAUGUCCAUCAUCACUAGAAUGGAUACAAAUCUUAAACUACAGUAUAGUCACACAGUAAAAUCCCACACAACAAAGAACAUGAAUAAACUUCAGCUAGAAGCAACAAUAUAAAUGAAUCUUCAAAACUGUUGAGCAAAAUAAGCAGCUAAACUCUGUUUGAAGAUGCCAUCUUAAGUGGUAAAACUAUAUGGGUAAGCAAUGAAGGAUUAUCUAAAAGUCAAGAUAUUGCUUACACUUAGAAGGCACAGAGGUGAUUCUGAAGUAGCACUUUGGCAAUACUGUAUUCUAUUUCUUGAUCUAAGUGGUGAUUACAUGAGGUUAACUUUGUGACAAUUUAUUGAGCAAUAGGCAUAUUUUAUGCAUUUUACUGGCAAAACAACUUUUUUUUUUUUUUUUUGAGAAGGAGUCUCACUCUGUCGCCCAGGCUGGAGUGCAAUGGCACAGUCUCGGCAGCAAUUCUCCUGCCUCAGCCUCCUGAAUAGCUGUGAUUACAGGCGCACACCACCAUAACUGGCUAACUUUUGUAUUUUUAUUAGAGACAGGGUUUCACCAUGUUGGUCAGGCUGGUCUCAAACUCCUGACCUCAUGAUCCGCCUGCCUCGGCUUGGCCUACAGAAGUGCUGGGAUUACAGGCGUGAGCCACUGUGCCCGGCCCUUAUUUUUUUUUUUUUUUUAAGUCAUGAAUGAAGUUGGUCAGUUGCCCAGCAUUGCAGCCAUUAAGCAAUUCACCCUUGUUUUUCACUGUGGCUAAAAUCCAGACACCAAUGUCCUGGCUGGCUGGGUGGAUGGCACCCCCCAAGCCUCAUCACUGAUAAGCCAUGUGACUUGUCCACUGCCCUGCCCUCAGGACAAGUGUAACAAUUCACCUAGGGCUUACAAGCAUCUCUAGGCAAAGGAAUGGAGUAUCCUGACUACAGGGUUAUAACUCAGUCCGUGUUACAGACUAUAUAAUUGUGUCUCCCCAAAAUUUAUGUUAAAACCCCAACCCCCAGUGGGAUGGUUUCAGAGGUGGGGCUUUUGAGAGUUAAAUGAGGUCAUGAGGGUGGGGCCCCCAUGAUAGGAUUAGCGUCCCUGUGAGAAGAGAAACAGGUUAGAGCUCCCUCUCCCAUCUUCCCUCUCGACAUACAUACAUGCACCAAGAAAGGCCAUAUGAGGACAUAACAAAGAGCGCCCUUCCCAAGAACUCAGCCAUGCUGGCAUCCUGAUCUUGGACGUCCAGCUUCUAGAACGGUAAGGAAUGGGUAUUUGUUGUUGAUGUCACUUGGUCCAUAGUAUUCUGUUAUGGCAGCCCAAACUGAGUGACAGUCCAUGUAAGGCCACACCCAAAGGGCCUGGACUUGUGAUUCACUCACAGCCAGGCCCAGACAGGAUGAGUUCUGACCCCACAGGAUCCAGCCACACCCUGGCCUGGAGGCAGAGGUCAGCUUUGGUCCUGGCGCUCAAAGUGAGUUUCUUCUAGAGGGUUUCCUUGCUCCCCUACUUUCACAAUCCAGCCUUGAUCAUUGCUCCCUCCAACCGUCAAACAAAGGAAAGGGUCUGAACCCUAGUGCCUUUCCCUAAGAAGCCUCUGCUCCCAUGCAAAUGUAAAUAGCUAUGCAGGCACCGAGGAUAUUCCCAUCUUUGUCUAGCAGCAUUUGAGCUCCGGUUUUCUAUAGUCUGAGCAUCUGUCUCAGCAACGGUCCUUUUAUGAUCAUGAUAAAUUCACGAUAGGUACUAUUAUUUUCAUUGUACACGUGAAGGACAACUUCAGUCUACAGUCAUACCACCCUCAACGCUCCCAAUCUCGUCUGAAGGACAACAUCAGAGAAACAAAGCAACUUGCCCAAGAGUAUACAGCUAAAGAAUAGUAAUAAUAUAAUUUCUGUUAUUAUCUAUUGAGUACUUGCUAUGUAUCAGGCACUGUUUUAAAUACUUUGCAAGUAUUCAUUUUAUAAUUCUUCCCACAAUCCUAGGAGACAAGUACUUCUAUUAUUCCCAUUUCACAAUUAAGAAAACUGAGGCACAGAGAAACUGUCAUUUUCUCAAGAUCAUAAUAAUUAAUGAAUGAAGGAGUCAAGAAAUGAACCAAGGUUGCUUAACCACAAACUUUAGCCAGCAGUUCCCCAGAAUUAAAGUGUAGGUUAUAAGGUUUUGAAGUUUGAAAUCUCCAGAUGUACCAAAAGCAGGUCACUACCAGUGAGUGAAACACGAAGAGGGUAUCCUACAUGCUGCCUGAAGGCGUGGCUCUCUGUGGUUGCCUCUCAGCCUGCAGGACUCAGCUCCCACUCCAGCCCUGCCUCGUCAUCGUGGCAGGAGUUCUCCAGCAGUGGACACGUGAUAGAAGAACAAGAUUAUUUGACCAAUUAUCUUCUCUCCUUUACACUACUCUAGCUAACAUAUUCCCUUUUUAGUAGGUAGACUUGUUGAACUAUAUACCUAACAAUAAAAGAAAAAGUUU